UCAGUUUAAUAUCUGAUACGUCCUCUAUCCGAGGACAAUAUAUUAAAUGGAUUUUUGGAGCAGGGAGAUGGAAUAGGAGCUUGCUCCGUCCACUCCACGCAUCGACCCGGUAUUGCAGUACUUCCGGGAACGGUGCACCUCCCACUGGGAGGAAAAUGGUGUUCACGAAAAACAGACCUCGGGGGCUCUGCAGAGUAACCGUCUGCAAGACGUAGGAAAAUUGGCUUCAUUUCCAUGGUAGGAGGUGAUCAAGAAUAAGAAAAAGGAAGCAAGAAACCAGAGGCUACCUAAGGAGUUGAUGUGGCAUUUAGCUGUUUUAGUCUUUGUACCAACAACCCCUACAACCCUGGCACAAAACCACUUCCUGUUGGAUGAAACAGUGUUUGUUGUUGUUGUUGUUGUUUUUGGGGAGGUGUGGCACUCAGACCUUUUCAUGCAUGGCCAUAACACAGCAUCAUUGUUAUCAGAGGAGCUGUUAAAGCCUUUACAAAUAUAUUUCAUUACAAGACCCUACAUCUCUUAGAUCUUAUAUCGAUCUACUGCCCCUUCAACAUUCUUAAUUUUAAAAGUGAUGAGCACCUUAGUGACAGUGCUUAAAUCAGAUUCUAAACUGCCUGACUCUGGGUGUGGCCUAGAGGGACUUUCAGGGCUGCUGGUAAUUCAGCUGUCCUCUUCCCUAGUUCCAGGCAGGAGUCUCCUUUUUAGCUUCCUCAAGCCUGGCCAGGCCUGGCCCUCAAUCCUAUCUUCCUCCUCCCAUGAAUUUAUUCUUCCCAUAUUCAUCCAUAUCCACCUUCCAGAACUGUAUGGGCAACACUGUGUGUUCUGACAUCCCCAAGUCAGAAAAGGUUUGAAUUAUUCUCCACUGUGUGGUGGUCCCUGCUGAGGCUGCCGAUGAGGCCUCCAGGGUUGUGUUUCUUCUACCCUUCUUUCGAACUGCCUGGAUCACAAGCUUCUACUCUCUCUAUCUUUACUUCGCUCUGUUGUGCUAGGUUGUCCAUCAGCUGACUCAGUAUUAAUACUGCCACUCCAUGAUGACUUCUUUAAAAAAUAUGGCAAUAUCUGUGCCUAUUUUUGUUGUCCACUCAAUCAUCUGCCCUCUAGAUUCAUUAAAGCACUUAUGAAAUGCUUACCAUGAUACCUAGAAUCCCAGAUGAAAUUUCCAAAUAAAAACGUAAAUGACCUCCGUGCCACAAAAUCACAUGAUUUUUCCCAAUCAGACCUCUACGUAGUAUACAUUUGAAUUUCCUUAUGCAUUCUUCAUGUUCCAUUUUGUAUUAUAAUUAUUUCUAUACAUGUGUGAUGGUAUCUUAUUAGAUUUAUAAAUAUCUUUGAAGGCAAAGAUAAUGUCUUAUUUAUCUAUUGUCUCCCCCACCCACCAUAUAAACACUUUGUACAGCACUGUGUACUUGGUCCAUAUUAAUAAUGUUUGCCGCAUCAAAUAAAAUUACAACAUACUGUUAAAUACUGAAAAUAUGCUGAUUGGGGCUCUGAAGUCAGGAGGGCCUCAGUUCAAA